CCGCGUUCCACAGUCGAUGUUCCUGAGCAAAAGUUAACCUGUUUCUACGAUGAUUUACCUCGAACCUUGGAGCCUUGGCGGGCACAAAUGAACCCUAAACAGCUUCUUCGAACCUUCUUCGUACCGUACGCUCACUUACGGUUACACCCCGCACUGCUUCUAACUCAUGUCGGGCUUGGACGGCUGUCAAACGGGGGUUCCUACGUGCACGAAGCCGAAUGAAACGAUCAUCCCUACUCGAAGUCCAUGCCCGGGAUCGAGCUGCGACUGCCCAAAUAGGAAGCCACAGUCCAAACCACUGGGCUAUUAUGAAAGUAUUAAUAAGAGAAUAUUCGCUUUUUGAAGAAGUUUUA